GUUCCUGUGGUUAAGCAUUUUUUUAACGGCGGCUUUUCGGGCCGCAGACCUUGGAGAAAAGCCAAGCAGGAAUA
rnacentral:tRNA from 1 species